rnacentral:rRNA from 1 species
UACGGGGGGGCAAGCGUUGUUCGGAAUUACUGGGCGUAAAGGGCUCGUAGGCGGCCAACUAAGUCAGACGUGAAAUCCCUAGGCUCAACCUAGGAACUGCCUUCCAGACUGCUUUGCUUGAGUCCGGGAGAGGUGAGUGGAAUUCCCAGUGUAGCGGUGAAAUGCGUAGAUAUUGGGAGGAACACCAGUGGCGAAGGCGGCUCACUGGACCGGAACUGACGCUGAGGCGCGAAAGCGUGGGGAGCAAACAGG